rnacentral:rRNA from 1 species
UACGUAGGGUGCAAGCGUUGUCCGGAAUUAUUGGGCGUAAAGAGCUCGUAGGCGGUUUGUCGCGUCUGCUGUGAAAACUCGGGGCUUAACCCCGGGCCUGCAGUGGGUACGGGCAGACUAGAGUGCGGUAGGGGAGACUGGAAUUCCUGGUGUAGCGGUGAAAUGCGCAGAUAUCAGGAGGAACACCGGUGGCGAAGGCAGGUCUCUGGGCCGUAACUGACGCUGAGGAGCGAAAGCGUGGGGAGCGAACAGG